rnacentral:rRNA from 1 species
UACGUAGGGGGCGAGCGUUGUCCGGAUUUAUUGGGCGUAAAGAGCUCGUAGGCGGUUUGGUAAGUCGGAUGUGAAAUCUCCAGGCUCAACCUGGAGGGGUCAUUCGAGACUGCUAUGACUAGAGUUCGGUAGAGGAGUGUGGAAUUCCUGGUGGAGCGGUGAAAUGCGCAGAUAUCGGGAGGAACACCCGUAGCGAAGGCGGCACUCUGGGCCGAUACUGACGCUGAGGAGCGAAAGCGUGGGGAGCGAACAGG